rnacentral:rRNA from 1 species
CAGCCGUAAACAAUGUGCGUUAGGUGUGUCGGUAACCACGUGUUACUGAUGCGCCGAAGAGAAAUCGUGAAACGCACCACCUGGGAAGUACGGUCGCAAGGCUGAAACUUAAAGGAAUUGGCGGGGGAGCACCACAACAGGUGGAGCCUGCGGUUUAAUUGGAUUCAACGCCGGACAUCUCACCGGAUAAGACAGCUGAAUGAUUGUCAAUCUGAAGGUUUUACAUGACUAGCUGAGAGGUGGUGCAUGGC